rnacentral:rRNA from 1 species
UACGUAGGGGGCGAGCGUUGUCCGGAUUCAUUGGGCGUAAAGAGCUCGUAGGCGGUUUGGCAAGUCGGGUGUGAAAUCUCUGGGCUCAACUCAGAGAGGCCACUCGAUACUGCUAUGACUAGAGUCCGGUAGGGGACCAUGGAAUUCCUGGUGUAGCGGUGAAAUGCGUAGAUAUCGGGAGGAACACCAGUGGCGAAGGCGACUUCCUGGCCUGUUCUUGACGCUGAGGCGCGAAAGCUAGGGUAGCAAACGGG